rnacentral:rRNA from 1 species
AGGACGAACGCUGGCGGCGUGCCUAACACAUGCAAGUGGAGCGACGACCCGGGCUUCGGCCCGGUGCAAAGCCGCGAACGGGUGAGUAACACGUGGGUAACCUGCCCUGAUGAUUGGGACAACCCGAGGAAACUCGGGCUAAUACCGAAUGUGCCCUCUGGCCGUAAGGCCUCUGGGGAAAGGAAGCUUCGGCCUCCGCAUUGGGAUGGGCCCGCGGCCCAUUAGCUUGUUGGUGAGGUAACGGCUCACCAAGGCAACGAUGGGUAGC